rnacentral:ribozyme from 15 species
AAAAAAAAGAAAAAGAAGAAAAAGAAAAAGAAAAAAUCUCGUCGUCGUCAUCGUGGAUCUACUGAUGUAUUUGAUUCUGUUCUUUCAUCAACUAUUCCUCUUAAGCGUAAAGUUAGCAAUG